rnacentral:lncRNA from 1 species
CCCGCCCCGUCCCACCUUGUUCCCUCCCACCCUACUUCCUAGGGCUUCCCGCAGAGACUGGGUUGCGGAAUGUUCGAACCCACCGGGAACUGUCGGGGUUUUGCUCGGGGUGGGAGGACCGGAUGGCCUGGUUGUUUAAGAGUUAGUGUGGAAUCCACAGAGCUUGAGAUGCCUGAGGCCACAGGGAAAGAAGGAAGAUAUUCACCAAGAAGCAUGGCAUUAAAGUCUCACACAGUAACUCUGGAGUUGCAGAGUCAUGACUUUUACCAGCUUUCUGUUGCACAACUGCCAAGUUUGGAUCUGUGCUGUUUGCAUCAGGGAGGUCCAGCCGCAUUAGGCCAUGCAGGAGAGUUUUCAGCAAUUACCCACCCAAGAGAGAGAAGUCCAAGACUGUGCAACAGCUCCAAGAUGGCAUCAGUCCCCCAGGUUCCUUUUUUCUUUCUGCUCCAUCAUCCCUAG